GUGCAGCCGCCGCGGUAAUACGUAGGGGGCAAGCGUUGUCCGGAAUUAUUGGGCGUAAAGCGCGCGCAGGCGGUUCCCUAAGUCUGAUGUGAAAGGCCACAGCUCAACUGUGGAGGGCCAUUGGAAACUGGGGAACUUGAGGACAGAAGAGGAGAGCGGAAUUCCACGUGUAGCGGUGAAAUGCGUAGAUAUGUGGAGGAACACCAGUGGCGAAGGCGGCUCUCUGGUCUGUAACUGACGCUGAGGUGCGAAAGCGUGGGUAGCAAACAGGAUUAGAUACCCCCGUAGUCC
rnacentral:rRNA from 1 species